GUCCUUGUAGCUCAAGGGAUAGAGCGUUUGACUUCAAAUCGAAAGAUCGUGGAUUCAAAUCCCACCUGGGAUG